rnacentral:sRNA from 1 species
UGAAUAAUAGAGAUUGCUACCUUCUUAACAUCCUACAUGUGUACUUCACACUACUCUCAUAAUUACAUCUAGAACCAUCUCUUACAAUUCUAAUCACUCUAAACUUUAUUCAAGUGAUCUGUUGUUACACACAUCUACAAUAAAGCAUGCAACAUUAGUUAAAACAUGCAAAAUGAUCUUGACACAUGCAAGAUUUCUUGAAAACCAAUCUGAAUCCUCUACUGCCUCUGAUGAUCAUAAUGUGUGUUUGCAACAGUUGAACAAUCAAAUUUGUGAAUGAGAGCAGCAAUUAGCUAUUCUGCAUGCACAACAACAACUCAAUAAGUUGAAAGCACAGAUUCAUGAAGAUACUCUCAUUGAGUCUCAAUUAACUCAGAAUAUCACCACAGAAUCACUGCAAAAUUGAUCUGUGAAUGAUACAGAUGAUGAUAAUGAAACAUCACUGAGAUUAGAGAUUAAGAACUAUUAUCAAGAAAAAAAUAUAUUAGAAUUCAAGAACUAUAAAGAUCACAUAUUGACUCUAUUUACACAUUACUAUUGAUAUUAUUGAAAGAAAGAAUAUAAGAUAAAUGAUACUAAACUCUAUCUUGACACUCACAUUAAGCAGAAAUGAUUGAAUUUUGUAUCAUUGUAUGAGAGAUGUGAAGGAGCAACACUGUUGACUUUUGAUGAUAUACUAUCAUAUCUAGAAAUGCAAAUUAAUAAUCCACAGAAUCAGUACUGAUUGAUGAGUCAAAAAUUUCAAAAUAUAAAGCAAUAAGAAUGAUAGUUGAUAUGCAAUUUCUCUAAAUAUCUUGAAGACUGAGAAUACUACUUACCCUCAUAUAGCAAAGAACAAAGAAUGAAUAACUUGUGUAGUAAAAUAUUGAAGAUACUAUACACUGAACUCAAUCAUUGAAAUCAAGAGUCUCAGAACUAUGAAGAGUUGCUUCAAACUCUACAGACUUUUGAGAAAAAUAUAUUAAAGUGACAGCAUGCUAUUUGCAAAAAAAGAUCUGUGAUAUUUAUAGAGAAUCAGUGUUGUUCUGAUAAAUCUAGCAAUUGUUGAAACAAGAGAAAACAAGAGAAACAAACAGAUUCAACUGAAUAAAUCAAAAAAGAUAAAUAUAACUGAAUAAAGAAGUGUUCUCACUGUCAUAAAAAGAAUUAUAUUGCAAAUAGUUGUUGAAUAUUAUAUUCUGAAAAGCACAAUCAAAUUCAAUAAGCAAAAAAUCAACAAUCUCAAUUGUAGAAGCAGCUGCUGCAUUGAGAAUAUGAACAACUAGACUAUAAGAUAAAUAGUUAUUGACAAUGAAUAUAUGAAUACUGACAGAAGUGAGAUGAUCAAUGAUGUGAAUGUUAGUGAAUUCUGAUACAGAUGUGAACUUUGUAUCCCACAUCUGAGCAUUAAAAUAUUUCUCAAAGACAGAAGAUAAAUCAAAAGUAGUAGAAGCAGUUGAUAAUCAUAAGAUUAAGUUGUAUAAACAACAAAGAGCUGCAAUGAAAAUUAUCAAUGAUGAAUAUAUUCUUCAAGAAGAAUUCCACCAUUUCAAAAAGGC